AUUGAACGCUGGCGGCAUGCCUUACACAUGCAAGUCGAACGGCAGCACGGGAGCAAUCCCGGUGGCGAGUGGCGAACGGGUGAGUAAAGUAUCGGAACGUGCCCAGUCGUGGGGGAUAACGUAGCGAAAGUUACGCUAAUACCGCAUACGAUCUGUGGAUGAAAGCGGGGGAUUGCAAGACCUCGCGCGAUUGGAGCGGCCGAUAUCAGAUUAGGUAGUUGGUGGGGUAAAGGCUCACCAAGCCGACGAUCUGUAGCUGGUCUGAGAGGACGACCAGCCACACUGGGACUGAGACAUGGCCCAGACUCCUACGGGAGGCAGCAGUGGGGAAUUUUGGACAAUGGGCGAAAGCCUGAUCCAGCCAUGCCGCGUGCAGGAUGAAGGCCUUCGGGUUGUAAACUGCUUUUGUACGGAACGAAAAGGUUUGGGCUAAUAAGCUGAGCUCAUGACGGUACCGUAAGAAUAAGCACCGGCUAACUACGUGCCAGCCGCCGCGGUAA
rnacentral:rRNA from 1 species